AUAAUCCUCCCACAUGCUAGCUAUCUCUCCCAGACUAGCUUCUGAAAUGUUUAAGUGCUCUGGCAGCUGUACUGAGUUCAUUAGGAAGAUCUUUUAUGACUUACAUCAUUAGCCAAAGAGUUAUUUAAAUUAUCUUCAUCAAAACCAUCAGAAGAGUUGCUGCAGGCAAAGAAAGUAGAAAACAGACCACAGAAUUCGAUUGUUAAGACAUUGAUGCAGAGACAAACAGCUAACAUCCAAAAUGGGAAAGGGAGGAACCUAGAAUCUUGCCAAAAUGACCGUUUAUCAAGAUAUGGAACUACAAUAGUGGCAUUUAUGAUACAAGCUACAGCUACCAUGUCGCAUAUCUGCAACUCAAACAUUUAGACUAUAACUCAGCUCUCAAUAAUAGCCACAAAAUAUAUUUAGCAAAGCAGUUGACGCUAAGCAAGAGGAAACAGAAAAACAUAUAUUAGAAAAACUACUUUUUUUAUAGUUAGUGGACCAAACACUAGAAGACGCACCAAUCAACUAAACUAACACCUUUUGCAUUUAAAUUGUCUAAAAUACUAUCAAUAGAAGGAGGAAACGUAGCAGGAAAAGCAAAGCAAUUUCAAGCAGUAAGCUUAUAGAUGGUUAAUGAGAAAAGUAUUCUAAGUGAGUACAACAGAUAAAUAUUUGUAGUUCAUCCAAUCCGACACUCACAGAUAGGAACCAGGUUAUGCUUAUGCAAAAAAAAAUACAAAUACAUUAUAUUCAUACUUUUAGUACUAAUGAUAAUAAUCAUAUCUAGAUGAUAUUAACCUAAAAUGAAGAAAUAUAAAAAGAUGCAUAAAUGGUUUCUGCUGUUCUCUUUUAACCAAUGUAUGAAUCAAUUUCCAAAAAUAUGUAAACGAAUAAACAUUAAAAUAGAACUCAGAAACGGACAUUAUAACAGGUCAAAAUGGAAUCAUUCACUGAAGCAUUCCAGGUGUAUAUUUUGUAACUUCUCAAUUCACCAUAUCAGAAAAUAAAGAGCUUCCUAGCAAUGGGAUAAUUACACAGACAAAAUGGAAACUUAUGGAUAGACGAAAACAAAAAUACAAACCUGAGCACGCAUCUGGUUGAAUCCAGUUAGCCAUCUGAUGUUGUCUCCAGUAAAUCUCCUAUACAUUUUCCUUACAGAUUAAAUAUUUUGUCCAAGAGAAGUAAGGUUCAAAAUCCAAACAACAACUUCAAAAUCAGUGAAAUCAAACGACAAAUAAGCUUCAAAAUUUAACUAAUUCGUUACCAAAACCCACUGAAACGCUAAAUAGAGAUAAUCUUUAUUUGAUCAAAUUAAGUCACUCACUUCAACCUAUUAAAUAAGAGAUAAGAAAUAACAAUAUGAACAAAUACCUAGGGUUUAUUCAAGAAAAACUCCAGCGCUGAAAAAAGGGCUAGGAAUUCUUUAAUAAGGACAACGACGCGACAGCUGCAGGCUCGACUUUGUCCGUCAAAAGGACAUAGCAUGGCGGCGGCAAGGAACGGCUAUCAUCGGCUCAAAAUAAUGGCAACAAGGAACAACGGUGUAAAUCAAACGGCUAUCAUCGGCGAGUCAAUGACCGGCCAAAAUGACGGUGAGAACGGCCGGAUUCGUAGGGGAAUUUCAGUGAGACCUUCAAGCUGUCCAAGUUGUUUUCCGAUCAAUCAUUUUAGUGGCUGUAAUUUUUUUUUUUUUCCCCCGUGGUUUCUUCUAAUUUGAUGUAGAGUUUUGCUUUAUUUGAGUUUUAGGGUCAGUGGAGAGCGAGGGAAUCAAUUGUGUUAAGAGAAGGAAG
rnacentral:lncRNA from 1 species